rnacentral:sRNA from 1 species
UAGGUUUGUAGGCUGCUCGGGGGACGGUUAGCUCCUUCCUUUCCAGGAAGGGGAUGGUAAGAUGACUGUUUAUGAGGCAUUGACAUUUGCGGUCGCAUUUGCCACGCUCAUGGUAUUGGUCAUGACCCAAAAGAAAUAACCGCCCCUGCUCAGAUGGCGGUUAUUUCCUAAUAACAUGCAAUUUGGGCUAGCCGUUUUCCGGUUAGACAGCCUGUAGGGCUGGCGUGUGUCGAGCACGCCAG